AUGACAGUGCUGCUGUCCUCCACUCUGGCUCAAUAUAGCAAUAGACCAGAGGAGUGCUGUUUUACAUACUUUCCUGGAAAACUGAAGAUGGAGCUGGUAGCUGGAUAUGUAGAGACCAGAGGGGACUGCAGUAAACCUGGAAUUAUAUUUUACACCAGAAGCGGCAC